GCGGGUGUAGCUCAAAGGUAGAGCAAUAGCCUUCCAAGCUGAAGAUGAGGGUUCGAUUCCCUCCACCCGCUCCA
rnacentral:tRNA from 2 species